GACGUAGGGGGCCAGCGUUGUUCGGAAUUACUGGGUGUAAAGGGUUCGUAGGCGGUGUGGCAAGUCGGGAGUGAAAUUUCUGGGCUUAACUCAGAACCUGCUUCCGAAACUGCUGUGCUCGAGUGUGGGAGAGGCGCGUGGAAUUGCAGGUGUAGCGGUGAAAUGCGUAGAUAUCGAGAGGAACACCGGUGGCGAAGGCGGCCUUCUGGACAGUGACUGACGCUGAGACACGAAAGCGUGGGGAGCAAACAGG
rnacentral:rRNA from 1 species